ensembl:snRNA U7 small nuclear RNA
AGCUAACACAGCUUUUAGAGUUUUGUCUAGCAGGUUUUCUGACUUUGGUUGGAAAACCGAU